UGCAUGCAUAUUUCGGAUGUGCGAUAUCCUAUAAGUGGUAUCGGAGUCAUGGUUAAUUUCAUGUGAUUAAGAUCUGAAAAUCAGAUUUAGUUAUUAGAUUAGAUCUAAUUUAAAUACAUGUGAUGUAUUAGAUUUUGUUUAUACAUAAGAUUUAUAAGUGAUAUGCAUAUGUGAUAUGUGUAGAUAUAGUUAUGUAUGAGAUAUAUAAUCUAUUUUAACAUACAUGAGAUGCAUGUUAAUAGAUCUAAAUAUUGC
rnacentral:lncRNA from 1 species